rnacentral:rRNA from 1 species
UACAGAGGUCCCGAGCGUUGUUCGGAUUCACUGGGCGUAAAGGGUGCGUAGGCGGUCGGGUAAGUCUGAUGUGAAAUCUCACAGCUUAACUGUGAAACUGCAUUGGAUACUAUUCGGCUUGAGAGUUGGAGGGGGGACUGGAAUUCUUGGUGUAGCAGUGAAAUGCGUAGAUAUCAGGAGGAACACCGAUGGCGAAGGCAGGUCUCUGGGCCGAUACUGACGCUGAGGAGCGAAAGCGUGGGGAGCGAACAGG